rnacentral:rRNA from 1 species
GCUUACCAUGCAGUCGAGGGGCAACACGUCCCGAGUAAUCGGGAUGGUGGCGACCGGCGCACGGGUGAGUAACGCGUAUGCAACCUACCUUUUACAGGAGGAUAGCUUCCGGAAACGGAAAUUAAUACUCCAUAACGAUAUAUUAAGGCAUCUUUAUAUAUUCAAAGCUUUGGCGGUAAAAGAUGGGCAUGCGUAACAUUAGAUAGUUGGUGAGGUAACGGCUCACCAAGUCUACGAUGUUUAGGGGGUCUGAGAGGAUGGUCCCCCACACUGGUACUGAGACACGGACCAGACUCCUACGGGAGGCAGCAGUGAGGAAUAUUGGUCAAUGGGCGCAAGCCUGAACCAGCCAUGCCGCGUGAAGGAUGACAGCGCUAUGCGUUGUAAACUUCUUUUGUACAGGAAGAAACACUUCUACGUGUAGAAGCUUGACGGUACUGUACGAAUAAGCAUCGGCUAACUCCGUGCCAGCAGCCGCGGUAAUACGGAGGAUGCAAGCGUUAUCCGGAUUUAUUGG